rnacentral:rRNA from 1 species
GUCUAUUUGGAGAUAUAAAUAGUCUAACCUGCUCACUGACAAAGUAAUAUUGUUAAAGAGCCGCGGUAUCCUGACCGUGCAAAGGUAGCAUAAUAAUUAGUUUUUUAAUUGGAAACUUGUAUGAAGGGUUGGACAAAGGAAAAGCUGUCUUUAUAGUAUAAAUUGAAGUUAACCUUUAAGUGAAAAGGCUUAAAUAUUCCAAGGGGACGAUAAGACCCUAUAAAACUUUAUAUAUUAAUUAGAUUUAAUUUGAAUAAAGAAUAAAGAUUCAAUUUGAUUGUUGUAUUUUGUUGGGGCGAUAUAGGUAUAAUUUAUAUUAACUGCUUAGAUUUUAUACAUUAUAUAAAUGAAUUAGAGAAUUAAGUGAUCCUUUUUAGAGAUUAAAAGACUAAGUUACUUUAGGGAUAACAGCGUAAUUUUUUUUGAGAGUUCAUAUCGAAAAAAAAGUUUGCGACCUCGAUGUUGAAUUAAAAUAUCUAUAUAAUGCAGCAGUUAUAUAAGAAGGUCUGUUCGACCUUUAAAUUUUU